rnacentral:rRNA from 1 species
GGGGGGGGGCAAGCGUUGUUCGGAAUUACUGGGGCGUAAAGCGCGCGCAGGCGGCCCGGCAAGUCCUACGUGAAAUCCCACAGCUCAACUGUGGAACUGCGUGGGAUACUGCCAGGCUUGAGUCCGGGAGAGGAGAGUGGAAUUCCCAGUGUAGCGGUGAAAUGCGUAGAUAUUGGGAGGAACACCGGUGGCGAAGGCGGCUCUCUGGACCGGUACUGACGCUGAGGCGCGAAAGCUAGGGGAGCAAACGGGAUUAGAUACCCCGGUAGUCCUAGCUGUAAACUUUGAGCACUUUGUGUGGCGGGUAUCGACCCCUGCCGUGCAGAAGCUAACGCAUUAAGUGCUCCGCCUGGGGAGUACGGUCGCAAGGCUG